UCCAACACACCCACUUCCACCCACCUAAACCCCCUUCUUUCCUCCUUGAAAAUCAAACAACAAUUGCAGCAUCCUUCAAUCCACUCACCCUUUUUCAUUAUUUUCAGUUUACUUCUUUUAUUUAUCACUUCACAAACCACUGCCUCACAUCCACCACCGCCGCCGCACUCUUAAACACGCCGAGACACUCUCGUUCCAACUCACUUUAUAUUAUUAGCGUAGCUACUGGUCUUCAAAUUUCAAUAAAUUAUAUACCCAAUUCAUCGGGUCUCCGACUUUUUAUGACGGGUAAAGCCCACUAAAUUUACAGUCUUUUUCUCUGUCAAACUCGACCCAAUUUCGUAGGCUCUCUACACCUCUUUAGCUAAUUCUAACCAAAAUCCAUUUUUUCUUCUAUCGAAAUCUCAAAAAUCCUUUUUCUAUUUUUGACCCUUAUCCACAAUUUCGCUCAACACCAAGAAUCUUAAAUAACGACGAGGUUGAUGGAAAAUAUUACAUUUUGGUAAGUAAAGAAGAGUUUUUGCAAUAAUUAAGGGACAUGAGAUAUUGGAAAAUUACUUUUUAUAUGGGAUGUAACGACCCGACUGGUCGUUUUUCUUUCUAGAUUUCCGUUUUCCUAUUUAAGAUUAUCCGUAUGUGCUUUUACUAUUUUAUGACUUGCAGUGAUGGUUGGUUUGGUUUUAGAAGGGUUGGGGUUGAAUUUGAAACAUUUAAUUCCAUAAUAGUGGCAUAAGGUGGCUAAGUUUGACUUGAGUCAACACUUUGAGUAAACGAUCUCAGAAUCGAGUUUCGAAAGUUCCAAUGGGUUCGUAUGAUGAUUAUGGACUUGGUCGUAUGUUCGGAUCAAGUUUCGGGUGGACUGGGAGCGUUUCACCGCUUAUUGUUGAAAAUUGGUGUCUUGAAGGUUUUAAAAUUUUUUAAAUUUGAUUUGAAGUAGACUUUAGUUUUAUCGAUGUCCGUUUGAGAUUCUGAGCCUUGGAAUAGGUUCGUAUUGUGAUUUUUGACUUGUGCGUAAAAUUUGGCGUCAUUCCGAGUUGUCUAAGUAUGUUUCAUCGCGUUCGGAGUUGGUUGAAAUGCGUUUGAAGUUUAGAAGUUGAUUAAUUUGGUUAUGAGAUGCAAUUCUUCGUUCCGAAGUUAGUUUAUGUGAUCUGCGGCUUCGAGUAGGUACGUAGUAUGUUUAUGAAAUUAUUGGUAUAUUUAGACGGGGUCCCGGGUGGCUCGUGUGUAUUUCGGACCACCCGAAGCAAAGUUAAAGUUAGCAGAAAUUGCUCUUGUGCUUUGCAAUCGCAAAGAAGGCUGGUGAGGAGCCUGAGAUUUUAUUCUUCGCGAAUGCAAGGAGGGCCAUGCGAACGCGAUGUAGGAUCUGGUUCCUCUACGCGAACUUGGAUCCUACCUUUCCGAACGCGAAGAAGGGAUGGGUUGAGUUGGGCUGGAAGGCUAUUGCCUUCGCGAACGCGUCUGGGGGAUCACGAAUGUGGAAGGCUGGGAGAUGGUGCUUCGAGAACGAGACCAGUCUGUCGCGAAUGCGAAUGGCAUUUUUGGUCAGCCAGAAGAGUUGGUCUUCGCGAUAGCGAGGGCGUUCGCGAAGAAGAAAUCCCUGGGCAAACUACUUUUUAUUUCGGGACUUAUCCCAUUUCUCUCAAAUUUUUACUUGGUUUGGACGAAUUUGAGAGCUCUAUUGAGAGGAUUUUCGUCAACAUCAGAAGCUAAGUGAAUUCUACCAAUUCUUAAGUUAAAUACAUGGAUUGUGGGUAGUUUUUAACAUAAAAAUUAUGGAAUUUUGGGAUUUUUUUUAAGAACCUAAGGUUUGGUAAAAAUGCAAUUUGACCAAGAAAUUGAGAAUAAGUUAAAAAUUUGAGUUCGUAAUGUCAUGGUUAACGUUUAUCUUCGAAUAUUUCCGGAAUCCGGGCACGUGGGCCCGGAGAUGACUUUUAUGGACUUUUUGAAUUGGGUUGAGAAAGUACUCUAAUAGAUGAAUUAUGAACUUUUGAGUAUAUAUUGAUUAGUUUGUACGACUUUUGACUAGUUUCGAAUUGCUCGACAUCGUUUGGGGACCACUAGUGAGGUCUUAGAGCCGAGUCGUGAGCUUGAAAGCGAGGUAAGUCUCUUGCCUAAUCUUGUAAGAGGAAAUUAUCCCCUUAGGUGUAUAAAUUAUUGCGUGCUACUUGUUGUGGAUGCUACAUACGCACGAGGUGGCGAGAGUCCGUACGUAGCUAUAUUUAUAUUUAUGUCCAAGUAGACAUUGAUUCACAUCAUGCCUUAAAUGUGCUAUUUGUAUUAAUCUUGUACAUUUAAUUUUUUUAAUUUAUGACUGGGAUUGAGACUAGAAUAAAAUAUUGGCUGAGUCUCUUACUUUGAAAAAUAUAAAAUAUUUGAUGAACGGUAGUUCCGUGUCUUCUCGACUCGUAUGUAUUUUUUGCGAGCGAGAGAGUUUCUCUACUCUUAUGGGAUCAGGUUGUUCGUCUUGACAGGAUUACAAAGUAUUCUUAUGGGAUUGGGCUGUUCGCCUCAGUAGUGUUGUAAAUUAUUCUUAUGGGAUCGGGGUUCGCCUCAGCAGUAUUGUGAGCUAUUCUUAUGGGAUCAGGCUGUUCGCCUUGGUAGGAUUAUGUAACACUAUUCUUAUGGGAUCAGGUCAUUCGCCUCGCCAUUAUUAUAUAACACUAUUCCUAUGGGAUCGGGCCGUUUGCCUCGGCGGACUCGUACGUAACACUUGAGAUUUGAUUUGGUAUUGAUAUCAGUUGAUUUUGUGCCUUCGAGGCUGGUUAUGCCAUUUUAGUGAUUUCGUAAUAAUCCAUGUUUGGAAGUUUAUUAUUAAAGCUUAUUUGUUUCGUUGUUACUUGUUGUGUUUCAUGUAUUUCUACUUUAUGUAUUUUAUUAUUUGACCACUAGUAAGUGUCAAGUCGACCACUUGUCACUACUUUUUCGAGGAGAGACUAGAUACUUACUGGAUACGUAUUGAUUUACGUACUCAUACUACACUUCUGCACUGAUUAUGCAGGUAUUGAGACAAGCACUUCAAGUGGUCAUACGGGCACGUCACAGAGAGACUUAGUGGCAAGUUGCCUUCCAUGCUUCAAUCUGCAGCAAGUGGAGUCUCCCUCUUAUCUUAUUUAUUGUUCUGUCUAUUUCAUUUUAGAUAGUGGUUGUAGUAGUUUUGUAUAUUCCCUAGAUUGCUCAUGCACUUGUGACACCAGAUUUUGGGGUCUUCUAGUGGACUUUCAUACUUGUAUUUAUUAUCAUUAUCGC
rnacentral:lncRNA from 1 species